rnacentral:misc_RNA from 1 species
CCAAUAGCGUAUAUUAAAGUUGUUGCAGUUAAAAAGCUCGUAGUUGAAUUUCGGGAUCAGUAGGUCGAUCGUGCCACUGGUAUGAACUGGUCUCACUGGUUCCUCCCUCUUGACGAACUGCAAUGCUAUUAAUUUAGUGUUGUAGGAAAUCAGGACUGUUACUUUGAAAAAAUUAGAGUGUUUAAAGCAGGCUUUGGCUUGAAUACAUUAGCAUGGAAUAAUGAAAUAGGACGUUCGAUCCUAUUUUGUUGGCUUCUAGGAUUGACGUAAUGAUUAAUAGGGACAGUUGGGGGCAUUAGUAUUCAAUUGUCAGAGGUGAAAUUCUUGGAUUUAUUGAAGACUAACUACUGCGAAAGCAUUUGCCAAGGAUGUUUUCAUUAAUCAAGAACGAAAGUUAGGGGAUCGAAGACGAUCAGAUACCGUCGUAGUCUUAACCAUAAACUAUGCCGACUAGGGAUCGGAUGAUGUUAAUUUUUUAAUGACUCAUUCGGCGCCUUACG